GUGCUCACUUUGGCGGCAUAGAUAUUAAAAACUGGAAUAAUACAGAGGUUAGCAUGGCUCCUGUGCAUGCAUGACAUGCAAAUUUUGAAGCAUUUCAUAUUUUU
ensembl:snRNA U6 U6 spliceosomal RNA